GACGAACGCUGGCGGCGUGCUUAACACAUGCAAGUCGAGCGAUGAAACUACUUCGGUAGUGAAUUAGCGGCGAACGGGUGAGGAACACGUGAGGAAUCUGCCUUCUACACUGGGAUAACUCCGGGAAACCGGGCUAAUACCGGAUAUGAAACUUGGUGGCAUCACCGAGUUUGGAAAGUUUUUCGGUAGAAGAUGACCUCGCGGCCUAUCAGCUUGUUGGUGAGGUAAUGGCUCACCAAGGCGACGACGGGUAGCCGGCCUGAGAGGGCGACCGGCCACACUGGGACUGAGACACGGCCCAGACUCCUACGGGAGGCAGCAGUGGGGAAUAUUGGGGCAAUGGAGGAAACUCUGACCCAGCGACGCCGCGUGCGGGAUGAAGGCCUCGGUGUAACCGCUUCAGUAGGGAAGAAGCGAAAGUGACGGUACCGUACAGAAGAAGACACCGGCUAACUAUGUG
rnacentral:rRNA from 1 species